rnacentral:rRNA from 1 species
GUGUUAGAACUAAAAUACGAAGUCGGACCUGCCCAGUGAUCAUAUUAAACGGCCGCGGUACUCUGACCGUGCAAAGGUAGCAUAAUCAUUUGCCUUAUAAUUGAAGGCUGGAAUGAAUGGUUUGACAAGAAUACACCUGUCUCUUUUUGAUUCCCUAGAAUUUUAUUUCUGGAUGAAAAAGUCCAGAUAUUAUUAAAAGACAAGAAGACCCUAUCGAGCUUCAGAAAACUUAGUAGACUUAAUAAUAAGUCAAUAUUAAAUAAAAGAAGAACUACUAAAUACUUUGGUUGGGGCAACCGAGGAGCAAGCAGAGCCUCCUUUAAAUUAUAAGUCGUACUCGUAUUGAUCCAAAGAUUUUGAUCAAAGGAAUUAGUUACCGUAGGGAUAACAGCAUUAUCUUUUUCAAGAGCCCAUAUCGAAAAAAAGGUUUGUGACCUCGAUGUUGGACCAGAAUGUCCUAAAGAUGCAGAAGUCUUUAAGGGUUGGUCUGUUCGACCAUUAAAAUUCUA